UACGUGGGGUGCGAGCGUUGUCCGGAAUUAUUGGGCGUAAAGAGCUUGUAGGCGGUCUGUCGCGUCUGCUGUGAAAAUCCGGGGCUCAACCCCGGACUUGCAGUGGGUACGGGCAGACUAGAGUGUGGUAGGGGAGACUGGAAUUCCUGGUGUAGCGGUGAAAUGCGCAGAUAUCAGGAGGAACACCGAUGGCGAAGGCAGGUCUCUGGGCCACUACUGACGCUGAGAAGCGAAAGCAUGGGGAGCGAACAGG
rnacentral:rRNA from 1 species